rnacentral:rRNA from 1 species
GAUGAACGCUGGCGGCGUGCUUAACACAUGCAAGUCGAACGGAAAGGCUCCUGCUUGCAGGGGUACUCGAGUGGCGAACGGGUGAGUAACACGUGGGUGAUCUGCCCUGCACUUCGGGAUAAGCCUGGGAAACUGGGUCUAAUACCGGAUAGGACGAUGGUUUGGAUGCCAUUGUGGAAAGUUUUUUCGGUAUGGGGUGAGCUCGCGGCCUAUCAGCUUGUUGGUGGGGUAAUGGCCUACCAAGGCGUCGACGGGUAGCCGGCAUGGGAGGGAGUACGGCCACAUUGGGACUGAGAUACGGCCCAGACUCCUACGGGAGGCAGCAGUGGGGAAUCUUGCACAAUGGGCGCAAGCCUGAUGCAGCGACGCCGCGUGGGGGAUGACGGCCUUCGGGUUGUAAACUCCUUUCGCUAGGGACGAAGCGCAAGUGACGGUACCUGGAGAAGAAGCACCGGCUAACUACGUG